rnacentral:lncRNA from 1 species
AAGGUAUAUCCUUGUCUCAUAAGAAUACUUUAUCUUUUUAAUCUAAUUUUUUUUAAUAAAAUCAGAUUUAAUUGGCAUGUAAUUAGCUCCUUUAGGCAAGUAUGUGGGGCACCCCAUCUCAUAUAGGGCAAGUAGUUUGGGGUGCCAAUACUUGGCCCCUCCUUUGGUUUCUUAACAUAUGAGAGGGGGCGUGGCCCCUCUCUCUCCUCCAUGCCAAUCCAUAAGAGGGGGUGGGCUCCUCUUGCAAAAUCUUGGAGAUUGGCGCCCCUGGUUCUGCCAAAAAUGA